rnacentral:tRNA from 1 species
UGACUUUGUGGCCCGAUGGAUAAGGCGCUGGUCUACGAAACCAGAGAUUCUGGGUUCGAUCCCCAGCAGAGUCGAUUUUUUUUUGCUUUGUUACAUGCUUUAUCUUGAUUAUUAUUAUUCAAUCUAAUGUCUAACAUACAAAUGACUCUGUGGCCCAAUGGAUAAGGCGCUGGUCUACGAAACCAGAGAUUCUGGGUUCGAUCCCCAGCAGAGUCGUUUUUUGUUAUUUUGUCAACUGUCACGUGUUUCAUAUCGUUUUAUUGUCGAAUCGAACACUUUACACACAAAUGACUCUGUGGCCCAAUGGAUAAGGCGCUGGUCUACGAAACCAGAGAUUCUGGGUUCGAUCCCCAGCAGAGUCGU